rnacentral:rRNA from 1 species
UGGGGAAUUUUGGACAAUGGGCGAAAGCCUGAUCCAGCCAUUCCGCGUGCAGGAUGAAGGCCCUCGGGUUGUAAACUGCUUUUGUACGGAACGAAAAGGUCUCUACUAAUACUAGGGGCUCAUGACGGUACCGUAAGAAUAAGCACCGGCUAACUACGUGCCAGCAGCCGCGGUAAUACGUAGGGUGCAAGCGUUAAUCGGAAUUACUGGGCGUAAAGCGUGCGCAGGCGGUUAUAUAAGACAGAUGUGAAAUCCCCGGGCUCAACCUGGGAACUGCAUUUGUGACUGUAUAGCUAGAGUACGGCAGAGGGGGAUGGAAUUCCGCGUGUAGCAGUGAAAUGCGUAGAUAUGCGGAGGAACACCGAUGGCGAAGGCAAUCCCCUGGGCCUGUACUGACGCUCAUGCACGAAAGCGUGGGGAGCAAACAGGAUUAGAUACCCUGGUAGUCCACGCCCUAAACGAUGUCAACUGGUUGUUGGGUCUUAACUGACUCAGUAACGAAGCUAACGCGUGAAGUUGACCGCCUGGGGAGUACGGCCGCAAGGUUG